rnacentral:rRNA from 1 species
GAUCUCUUUGAGGCCCGUUAUCGGAAUGAGAACAAUUCAAAUCCUUUAACGAGGAUCUAGCGGAGGGCAAGUCUGGUGCCAGCAGCCGCGGUAAUUCCAGCUCCGCAGGUGUAUAUCUAUGCUGCUGCGGUUAAAAAGCUCGUAGUUGGAUCUGCGUGCUCGGAACUGGUUGGCUCACUGAGUUCAAACUGGUCUCCGGCGCUUUAUUGGCUGGUUUUCCCUUGAUGCUCUUAACCGGGUGUCUUGGGUGGCUAGCACGUUUACUUUGAAAAAAUUAGAGUGCUCAAUACAGGCGUAAAGCCUUGAAUAGUGUUGCAUGGAAUAAUAGAAUAGGACCUCGGCUCUAUUUUGUUGGUUUUCGGAACGCGAGGUAAUGAUUAAGAGGGACAGACGGGGGCAUUCGUAUUGCGACGUUAGAGGCGAAAUUCUUGGAUCGUCGCAAGACGGACGACUGCGAAAGCAUUUGCCAAGAAUGUUUUCAUUAAUCAAGAACGAAAGUUAGAGGUUCGAAGGCGAUCAGAUACCGCCCUAGUUCUAACCGUAAACGAUGCCAACUAGCGAUUCGCAGGCGUUAAACAACGACCUUGCGGGCAGCUUCCCGGAAACGAAAGUGUUCGGGUUCCGGGGGAAGUAUGGUUGCAAAGCUGAAACUUAAAGGAAUUGACGGAAGGGCACCACCAGGAGUGGAGCCUGCGGCUUAAUUUGACCCAACACGGGAAAACUCACCCGGCCCGGACACCGUAAGGAUUGACAGAUUGAGAGCUCUUUCUUGAUUCGGUGGGUGGUGGUGCAUGGCCGUUCUUAGUUGGUGGAGCGAUUUGUCUGGUUUAUUCCGAUAACGAACGAGACUCUGGCCUACUAAAUAGUGGGCGGAUUCUUUCUGUCCGCAACACUUCUUAGAGGGACAAGCGGUGUUCAGCCGCACGAGAUUGAGCAAUAACAGGUCUGUGAUGCCCUUAGAUGUCCGGGGCUGCACGCGCGCUACACUGAAGGAAUCAGCGUGCUUUCUGACCUUGCCCGAAAGGGCUGGGUAACCCGAUGAAAAUCCUUCGUGAUUGGGAUAGGGACUUGCAAUUAUUUCCCUUGAACGAGGAAUUCCUAGUAAGUGUGGGUCAUAAGCUCGCGUUGAUUACGUCCCUGCCCUUUGUACACACCGCCCGUCGCUGCCCGGAACUGAGCCGUUUCGAGAAGAACAGGGACCGUCGUUGAAGGGCCUUAACGGGCUUUUCUCUGAUAGAAACUGUU